rnacentral:lncRNA from 1 species
UGGAGAGUAUAGGCAAAUACUGGCAAAAAGUAUAAUCGAAAGUUGCGCUAAUGGUCCUUCACAGGUUGGUUGAGAUAGCUUUGUCAAACACUGUAGAACUGUAUCAGCUGCUGCAAGAAAUGAUUGCAAGUUGCGUCUUUCAGAGAAUGGUACAUAAUUGACAAGAAGAGCCAUUGCGUGGAUUCUUAAACGCUGUGAUGGGUCAGAUGAAACCAGCAAAGCUACCUGAUCCCAUGUACCAGAAACAAGCGCAGAUAUAAUCGGCUCGCAUGCAGAAGACUUACUUACUGAUGAGGCUACUUUAUCGCAAAUACUAGAACAUAAUAAAGCAGACCCACUAUGUCCAUCUUGGCUCAUGAGCCUCCCCAAGUGUUUAAGUGCAAUAAAUCGUUGCUCAGGCUCCGGAUGGCAAAGCAUGAAAGAGAACAGAUCAAUCAGAGAACCUUCACAUUCAUGGUAGGUGUGGAUGCCUCUUUCACAUAACUGAGAGAUCCAUUGAUCACUGUGAAGCCUCCAAGCAAUACUUGGGGCACCAUGCAAGAAAUUUUUAACUGCAGAGCAUACAUUGCUAAUUACACUAUGCAAAGAGAAGCGUUGAGGAACAGUGAGUACAGAACCAAGGAUCACAGAAGCAAGCUCCCACAAGUGGUUCUUUUGAAGCAAUAGAAUCAUUUCUGCAAGUCCUUCAAGACUGAUUUUCCAAAAAUCAGUGAAAUCUGAAAUAGAUUCCAUCUUAAGCAGAAUUCCCUCUUCACUGCCUUCAGAAACUGGAACUUUCUCAGCAACCAAACAUAAGCAUCUUGAGUACACGAAACUUUCUGCAGAAACAAGGGCUAGACUCUCUGCUAAUUUAUGGUGAAUCCUAAAGCAUCGUUCAAUAGUUGGAUUUAGCUUAGAAAUGAGUGCUUCUAGGUCCUUUAAGAAUCUUACAACUUCCACAACUUUGAGAUGAGACUUCUUGUUCACAACAGCAUUAUCAUCCAUGUUUUUUUCAUUCAUCUCAGUUGAGUAGAUAUCCAAAAGGAAAGUUGAGUGCCGUUCAGAUCUAUUAUCACAUGGUGCAGAAUCCAUUUCAGACAACGGAGAUAUAGCAUAGGGAAUGACACCCCAGCCUCUCAAUGUCUCAAGUAGCAAAACUCUGCAAUUUCUUAUUACAGCCUGAUAUGCACAAAGAUAAUCAUGAAAUGAAGUAGUUGGCUCACAAGAAGCAAAAUCAGCACAGGAAAUAGAAGACUGCAAUAGUUCAACUUUGCGUUGCAACGAUAGAUCAGGAAACACCGAUGCCAAAACAAAAAUUGGCAUUGCCCUGCACAAUCCAUCCUCUCUUGGAGUGUUAUGAUUCUCAUCUUUGAUGAUGUCAAAAAGUUCAUCAAAGCAUAAUGAUUCUAAAUUAAGACAUGAAUCAUCACUCACUAAGUUCUCAUUGGCAGAACAUUUUCCCAAAGAAUAUGAGAUAAUUGGCUUUACCAAUUGCAACACUGAACUGAGAAAUGACACAUCACAAUAUGAAGACCUGCACAAGGAAACAAGAACUUGCAUCAAGGUUGGUACUUCUGGUACCAGUGCUUCCAUGUGCUCAGCUACAAUGGCUUCAAGCACAUAAAAGACAAUUGCUUUUGCAUUCUUAGCAACAAAACCUUUUGCAAACCCAGUAGAUCUUCUACAAAAAGGUUGGUUCUCUUCUCGAAAAAAAGGCCAUGAACAAAAAUCAGAAAACCAACACAAUAAAUCUGGUACAAUAGCAGAAGAAAAGGAUCUUAAUUGCAAAGCAACAGCCUCCAAUAUAGAUUCCCCAAAAACUUCAAACUCUUUUUGCAAAUUGGGAAAGAACUGAUUUAUGUCCGGGUAUAUAACAGAAAAAGACUGAUCUCCAUUCUGUGGACUACGACUUUCACCCCCUUUCCUAGAACUUGAAUUGCUACCAGAUUCUUCAAUUUUCUUGUCAUCUUUCUGCUCCAGGUGACCUACUACAGCAAGCUCAUCUGAAAAUAUAGAUAGGAGAUAUGUCAACUGUGAAAGAUCUGAGACAAGGAAGAGUUUCUCCUUCUGAUACUGUUUAGCAUUACGAGAUAUUGCCAUCCAGCCAAGAAAACGGGCAAGAGGGGAAGUUGAAGAUGAGAAUGCAGGUAUUUUCUGCAGCCAAGCAGAAGCAGGAACUAGAUUAGCAAACCGAAAACCACUCCUGUAGUUAAUUGAAAGCUCGGACCCUUCAUCACAACCACUUGAAGCAAUUAUCAAUCUCUUAAGAAGAAUCCAGCGACGUUGAACUGCCUGCAGCUUCCACUCAUUAAACUGGACAGUUCCUUCUUUUAAUUGAUAGUAAAAAGUUCUCAGCUGCUGGUUUAAGUGCUCAGCAGAUUUUAUGAUUGUGUCAACAAUGAGCACAGGAGGACAGUUCAAUCUAGUUCCAGAGUGCAAUAGAAACAGCAGAAUUUGCAAUAGGAUCUCAUGUGUCGGGUGCUCCUCUUUUUGCAGACGAUGAAUUAAAAAAUCACAUAUAAGUGCUUGAUUUUGACGAAGUAAGGUGAUAGCAUCUGCUGAUUUUAUAUCUUGCUGAGAUAAAUCAAGUUUUUCAUCAUUCCCUUCAACAUAGGGAGUCAUACAUUCCUCGUCUGAGUUCUGCUGAUACUUCCUGUCAAGCUCAGCUGCUUCAAGCAUUAUUUCAAGAACAAAUUUGUCUCUUUUCCUCUCAAGAUCAGCUACAAUUUUGAAGUCAUUGUCCUCCUCAAAAAGUUCUCGAAGAACAGAAACUUCAUGGUUUUUACACGGCUUCUUAGUACUCAGUUUGUUCAUAAUAGGUGAACUGUCCCUGGAAGACAGCAUAAAGAACGGAUUAACAUAACACUCUGCUGCUAAAAGCAAAGCAUCUAUAGCAGCAUCAUGACCCUCCGGAGUGAUCUCACACUGAGAAUGCAAGUCCAGAGCUAAACGCCUAAAUUCAGAAGCUUUCAUCUGACAAUCUCGAUAACUUACAAGCUGAAAGUAAUCAUCAUGCAGAUUAGAAUACUCAACAGUAUUAUCAAUAGCAGAUAGCAAGCCAUGUUCAAACUGAUUGUUUGUGGACUGCUCAACAAUGUGAUUAAUUUCCUUCUUGACAUCAGAACUUAAGUCUCUGCACUUUUUCUCCAGGCUCCCAGAGACUAGUGAGAUUCUAUUGAGCUCUGGGGGGGAAAAGAGAAGGUUCACUUCCUCGGGGAUGUCUCCUUUUCCAGUCAUAUCAGAAUCAACUUUUGCAUCAGAAUCCUCAUGACUGCCAGAUCUAGAAGAAGCUCCAGCAUAGCGUAGGACAGAAGAAAGAGGUAAAACAUUCAAUAAUUGUGGUCCUAGCAGCUCAACACUAGGAGAUUGGCGAAGGUCGACAUCAGAAGGAAGCUGCAUGUGAGGUUCCAAAACUGAGAGAAGUACACUGCAUAUUCAUUGAUUCAAGACAAAUUCAGUGCAGUCAAGCAGUAUGCAUAACUUGGGAAAAAGCUUACUAUCAUAUGCAUAUCUUGGGAAAAAGCUUACUAUAAUAUGCACUUAAGCAAUAGUUACCAGACAGAAUUCAGGAUACCAGAUAACUCUUUCACUAUGACAC